rnacentral:lncRNA from 1 species
UUAUAAGGAAACUUUUCACUUCAUCUAGCAAAAAGCAAAGCAAAAAGGGAGAGAGUAAGGCUUGGCCGGAUGAACAAGAAGAGAAAGAGAGAGGGUUUGGUCAAAUUAUAAUCCACACCUAAUAAAAAGUAUAUCCUAUUUUCCUCUUUCACCUCUUUUAUUCUUCCAAGUUGCAAGGAACCAAAGAGAGAGAGAGAAUAGAGGGGCCAAUUUCGGCAGCCACAUGGUGAAAAAGGGAGGGGAGAUUUUGACUCUCAUAAAACCAAGAUCCAUCCAUGGAAGGAAGGAAGAAGGAGGAGGAGAAAUCAAGCUAAGGUAUAAUAAGAAUUUCUACUUGUGUAGGCUAAAUUUCCUUGGUGUUUUGAUUUGAUUUUUGACAACUUAAAGUUGUGAUCUUGAGGUUUAAAACCUUAGAUCUAUGUAUAUAUAAGUGUAUCAUGUUUAGAUCUAACAAUAUUGGGUGUUGAUUUUGGUUGGAAUCAAAGGUAUAAAAUUUCCUAAACUCAAAACUCUAGUUAGUUUAUGUGUUUUGUGAUGGUUGUUUUAGACCAAGUGUUGAACUUAUGAUCCAUAUGAGGGAAGAUCUACAUGAUAUAUGAUAUUUUAUGGUUAGAUCUUGCCAUUUUUAGGGUUGAUAAGCUUGAACAAAGAAGAUGAACCAAAACAGUUUUUUUUUUUUAAAUGAAUUAGUGGACUGCUGCCCUAAACAGAAAAUUUCGGAUUUGUUAGGGUGCUCUAAAAAUUCUGGACUUGUGAUAUGUUAUAGUACACUCAAUAAGCUUUCCAUAGACUCCGAAACGGACUAAAUCCGACAUCGGAGGAGCAAGUUAUGGGAUUUCUACCAAACUACACAAAGUUAAGAAAAACUGUUAGAAGGACAGUUUUUAACAGCCACUUCCGGGCUAAAUUCCGGGAGCUUAACAUGUCCAAAUAUGGAUUGUGAUAGAUGAAAAUUGUAAUUCGGAAAGAUACGAAUCUAAUAAAAUUGACGGAUCAUUAAUCGGAGUUACAGAUUUCGUUUUAUAUAAGUUUUAGCAAAGGACUCCAAAACUGCCAAAUGACAAAAAGUUGCUGCCCAAAAUUUUCCGGGGACUGUUUCGGACAUUUAUUUAAUGAGAAAAAUUCCAGGCUUUUGGGAAAUGAAAAUAUAUGGUAUUAAGUAGCUCGUGUCCAAAAAUGAGCUGAUUCCGAGUUAAAACGACCAAGUUAUGACCAUUACAAUUUUUGUGAUUUUCCGACGGAAAUCGCUAUAAACGGAGUUCUACAACUCCGAUUGCCACGAAAUUUAAAAUGGAGUAUCACGUUAACAUAUAUAAGGUUAUGCCAAGAGAUGGGCAUUACUGGAGUUAAGCACGAGGUAGCUAAUUUCUUAAGCUACGCACUAAAAUUAAUUAAGAAAAAAAAAAAAUUAAUGUUUUUAAAAUCAUAUAAAAAUGAUUUUAAGUAUUAGAAAAUUAUUUUAAGUUAUAAAAUAUAACUUUUGAUAUUUUGGCAUGAAAAUAUUAAUAUUUUAAUAUUAAUAUUAAUUAUCGGAUAAUGGAUUUAAGUGUUUAAAAAUCAAAUAAUUAUGAUUUUAAGGUAUUAAAAAUAUUUUGAAAUAUUAUAAUUACAUUAUAAUAUUAUGUAAGGAUUUUCAUUAAUAUUUUAUAUUAAAUGAAUAUUAAUGAUUAAGGAAUUAUGUGGUAUUUAAUUCAUUUAAAUACGGUUUUAAUGAUUGGAAAAUCAUGAUAAAUGGUAAUAAUUAUCCGAAAAUUAUUACGAGCCUAGGAAAAAUGUUUUGACUGAUAAGAAAUUAUCUGAGAUAAUUGUUAAGUGUUCAGGAAGAGUUUAACUGAACUUAAACUCGAGUAUUGUCCGACUAGACCGUCGGGAUGAUAGAACUGUGUCAGUUUUAAGUCAGACUGAAAUAGUUUGACCUGAUGCUAAGUCUUAUGUGCUGUAUAGACUUAUAGGGUUAUGUGUUAUGUGUUUAGGUUAUUCUGUGUAUUUAAAUAUAACAGUAUUAUACUGUGAUGAUAUUAUUCUAAUAUUGGAGAUCUAUAUUAUUAAUAUUAGGUCUUCGGGUAAAGCGUUAUAAAUUGCGUUGCGGUAAUCAACGGUUCAGGCAAGUUUGUUCUUACUUAACUCUAAUAAGAGUGUUUUAUUCAAGCUUAUGGUUAAUCAUUGCUGAUUGCCAUGAAAAUUGUACUCUGUACAUCUUGCAUGUAUAAGUCAGGUAUGAAAGGCUGAUCACCUUCAUUACCAGUUGGUUCAGAAAUGUUUGUUCAUGUUUAAAACUUGUUCAGUCAAAAGUUUGUUCCUGCUAGUUCUCAAUUAUAUUGAUGAAUUAUAGCCAGCUUAUUAUUCAUACUCUUCAAUCAUGAUAUAUCCUUAUAUUGUUGUAUUUAAACUUGCUGGGCAACUUUCAUGCUCACCCUUGCUAUAUCAUGAUAAAACAUUGCAGAUAAGGCGAAUGCGUUCGGAUACAGGA